CCUACUGCUACAGCAAAUAUUAAACUCAGGUUAACUCCUAGCCAGUUUAAAAUAAAUCAUUACACUAAAUGCCUAUUUACCGAAGUUCCUAUUACCUGAUAUAUCAUGUCUGGCAUCUAACAAAAUAUCACAAAGUGUGCUGAAAGCCAAGAAAAUACAGCCUGAAAUAACAGAUCAAGCAUCACAACCAAAUUUAGACAUUAUGUUCCCAAUAACAAACAAGAUGAACUCUCUGUGGCUCAAAAGUUAAAGGAGAGUAAUGGAGGCUAAGCAAGAUAGUGGAAUAAAAGGCUCCACCAAUCAUCAUUCCGUCAAGGACACCAAGUUAACAAGUAUCUACACAGAUGAAACAGCUUCAUAAGAACUAAAAAUCAGAUGAGCCCUCAUAGUACCAGAUUUUAAGUUUGUAUCACUGAAAGAGGCACUGAAGAGGUAGAAAACAGCCUCGAAUAGCUGACGCCACUCCUCCUCCACCCCCAAGCAGUGGCAGUGUGAUGCAGAGUGUUUCCAGGUGCUGGGGGAGGGAGAGCACAGCAAUUGUGAAGCAUUGAACUCAAUGCUGUCCUGUUAGAACAGGAAGGAAACAAGACAAAACUCAGCUGAUGCCCACCCACGGAAGGAGCAUUUAAACCAGCAUUAGCCAGAGCGGAAUCGCCAAUCCCAGCAGUUGGAACUUGAGUUCCUGCAAACUUCACCACUGAAGGCCAAAGUGCCCUUGGUCUCUAUGAACUUGAAAGGCAGUUUAGACCAUAAGGACUGCAACUCUUAGCUAAGUCCUAGUGCUGAACUGGGCUGAGACAGUGGACUAGGGGGUACAUGACAUUUUGAGAUACCUGCUGGAGCUGCUAAGGGAGUACUGGCAUCACCCCUCCCCUAACCAAAAGCUGCACAGCUCACAGCUCAAAAAGAAACUCCUUCCUUCUGCUUGAGAAGAGGAGAGAGAAGAGUGAGGAGGACUUUGUAUUGCAUCUUGGAUACCAGCUAAGCCACAGCUGGACAGGGCAUCAAUCAGAGUCGCAAGGGCACCAUUCCAGGCCCUAGCUCUCAGAUGACAUUUCUAAACACACCCACAACCAGAAGGGAACCCACUGCCUUGAAGAGAAGGAUGCAGUCCAGGGGCAUUGGUCACCUUGGGCCCUGAAUAACCAGCAGUGAUACCCAGGUACUACAGUACAGGCCUUGGGUGAGCCCCUGAAACUAGCUGGCUUUAGGUAACAGCACGGCCACAGGGGGAUAGAGCACCAAGUGGGCCUGUGGGAUCGCCAAUUCCAGAACUUGACCCUUGGAUGGCAUUUCUGGAUCUGCGAUGGGGAAGACAGGAGCCCAUUGUCCUGAAAGGUGAGUCCUAGGUCAGGCAGAAUUCAUCACAAGCUGACUUAAGAGCCCUUAGGCCUUAAGGGAAUAUUGGUGGUAGUUUGGCAGCACUCCCUGUGGGCCUGUGGGAGCAGUAGCUAUAAGGUGAGGCUCUCCUGCCUUUGGAAAGGAGAGGAAAUGGUGGGCAGGAGUGCAUCUUGUGGUUUGAGUGCCAGCUCAGCCACAGCACAAAAGAACACCAGGUAGAUUUCUAAGGUUUUUGAUUCUGUCUCUGACUCCUUGAUGGCACCUCUGAACCUACGCGGGGCUGUCCUGGUUGGCUUUGCCACUUGCCAAUUGCAGACCCCCAGGGCCUUGAGUAAACUUAAGCAGUAGCCAGGGAGUAGUUACAGCAGGCUCUGGGUGAGACCUAGUGCUGUGCCAGCUUCAUGUCAGUUGUAUUGGUAGUGGUGGUGACAGGGAUGCUUGUAUCACUCCACUCCCAGCUUUAGGUGUCUCAGAACAAACAGAGAUGUCCGCUUUCAUCAGCGUUUUUCAACACACUACUGGAAUUCCGAGCUAGAGCAAUCAGACAAGAGAAAGAAGUAAAGGGUGUCCAACUGGAAUGAAAGAAGUCAAAUUAUCCUUGUUUGCAGACCCUCCAGAUCCUAAAGGGAUUAACUAAGAUCUGAAUAGGAAACAUUUGUCAUCUAUUGUCUCUAAGGGUAGCCGCUGUAAAACUUCAGAAGAACUUUGGUCUUCACAGUCUUUAUCUUAACGUGAACAUUCCCUUUCUAUCAAUCCCAGGUCUUUAGACAAACUCAACCAAUUGUCAACCAGAAAAUGUUUAAAUUCACCUAUAGCCUGGAAGCCCCCCAGUUUUGAGUUGUCCCACCUUUCCAGACCAAGCCAAUGUAUUUCUUAAAUGUAUUUGAUUGAUGAAUCAUGCCUCUCUAAAAUGUAUAAAACUAACUUGCGCCCCGACCACCUAGGGCACAUGUUCUCAGGGCCUGCUGUGGUCUGUGUCACAGGCCAUGGUCACUCAUAUUUAGUUUAGAAUAAAUCUCUUCGAAUAUUUCACAGCGUUUGACUCUUCAUUGAUGGAAAUUCUAAUUAUUAAUAGCCACAAGAUAGAUACUUUAAAUUAG
rnacentral:lncRNA from 1 species